UCGAUCUCAAAUCAGGUA
rnacentral:rRNA from 1 species